rnacentral:rRNA from 1 species
AACGAACGCUGGCGGCAGGCCUAACACAUGCAAGUCGAACGCUCGUAGCAAUACGAGAGUGGCAGACGGGUGAGUAACACGUGGGAACCUUCCCUAUGGUUCGGAAUAGCCCAGGGAAACUUGGGGUAAUACCGGAUAAGCCCUUCGGGGAAGGAUUUAUCGCCAUUGGAUGGGCCCGCGUCGGAUUAGCUAAUUGGUGAGGUAACGGCUCACCAAGGCGACGAUCCGUAGCUGGUCUGAGAGGAUGAUCAGCCACACUGGGACUGAGACACGGCCCAGACUCCUACGGGAGGCAGCAGUGGGAAUAUUGGACAAUGGGCGCAAGCCUGAUCCAGCCAUGCCGCGUGAGUGACGAAGGCCUUAGGGUUGUAAAGCUCUUUUGGCGGGAAGAUAAUGACGGUACCCGCAGAAUAAGCUCCGGCUAACUUCGUGCCAGCAGCCGC